GUUACGUGAUUCAAUAUCAAGUGUACCUUCCAAGACGAUCUAGGUCCUAGUCUCGUGACUGACGGCGAGUGCGGACGUACAGCAGCCUUUUGACAAGACUGUCGCCGAGUGUACGGUACAUUGUGGACUGUAAAGCUGAAGAGUGCGCAGUGGAUGCCUGAUUUUGGAACCGAGUGUGAUCGUCUGGGCGGUGUGUUCACUCUGCGGGGAUGAUGGCCAGAGGAAGGAUGAUAGACAGACGACAGCUUGCAGAAGAAGAUGGGAGCGUUCUACCUGUGAGCCUGGUCGAGUUUAUAUUUUAUGGAUACACAUGCAUGGAUACACAUACAUGGAUUCCCUACAAGGACCCUGCGCAUCAAAAGCAAUCUGUCAUCAAUGUUAAGUAGACAG